ACCACAACGGGUGGAGCUUGCGGUUUAAUUGGAUUCAACGCCGGAAAUCUUACCGGGACCGACAGCAAUAUGAAGGCCAGGACUGAAGACUUUGCCGGAUUAGCUGAGAGGUGGUGCAUGGCCGUCGUCAGUUCGUACUGUGAAGCAUCCUGUUAAGUCAGGCAACGAGCGAGACCCACGCCCACAGUUGCCAGCGUACUCUCUGGAGUGACGGGUACACUGUGGGGACCGCCGCUGCUAAAGCGGAGGAAGGAAUGGGCAACGGUAGGUCAGUAUGCCCCGAAUAUCCCGGGCUACACGCGAGCUACAAUGGUUGGUACAAUGGGUAUCUACCCCGAAAGGGGACGGGAAUCUCCUAAAACCAAUCUUAGUUCGGAUUGAGGGCUGCAACUCGCCCUCAUGAAGCUGGAAUCCGUAGUAAUCGCGUUUCAACAGAACGCGGUGAAUACGUCCCUGCUCCUU
rnacentral:rRNA from 1 species